GGCUCCGGAGUGUUACACGCAGGAUUGCAACCCCUGAAAAGCAGAAUAGAUCUGCCGGGGCUU
rnacentral:tRNA from 1 species